rnacentral:rRNA from 1 species
GGGUUGUGAGGUUAAGCGACUAAGCGUACACGGUGGAUGCCCUGGCAGUCAGAGGCGAUGAAGGGCGUGCUAAUCUGCGAUAAGCGCCGGUAAGGUGAUAUGAACCGUUAUAACCGGCGAUACCCGAAUGGGGAAACCCAGUGUGAUUCGUCACACUAUCAUUAACUGAAUCCAUAGGUUAAUGAGGCGAACCGGGGGAACUGAAACAUCUAAGUACCCCGAGGAAAAGAAAUCAACCGAGAUUCCCCCAGUAGCGGCGAGCGAACGGGGAGGAGCCCAGAGCCUGAAUCAGCAUGUGUGUUAGUGGAAGCGUCUGGAAAGGCGCGCGAUACAGGGUGACAGCCCCGUACACAAAAGCGCAUAUGCUGUGAGCUCGAUGAGUAGGGCGGGACACGUGGUAUCCUGUCUGAAUAUGGGGGGACCAUCCUCCAAGGCUAAAUACUCCUGACUGACCGAUAGUGAACCAGUACCGUGAGGGAAAGGCGAAAAGAACCCCGGCGAGGGGAGUGAAAAAGAACC